ACGCCUGUAGCUCAGUGGAUAGAGCAGCGGUCUUCUAAACCGCAGGUCGCAGGUUCGAACCCUGCCAGGCGUG
rnacentral:tRNA from 1 species